UAUCUACUUCCUCCGUUCCAAAUUACUCGUCUCAGAAAUGGAUGUAUUUAGAACUAAAAUACAUCUAGAUACAUCCAUUUCUGCGACGAGUAAUUCGGAACGGAGGGAGUACCAU
rnacentral:pre_miRNA from 1 species